rnacentral:misc_RNA from 1 species
GAUGAAGAACGCAGCGAAAUGCGAUAAGUAAUGUGAAUUGCAGAAUUCAGUGAAUCAUCGAAUCUUUGAACGCACCUUGCGCUCCUUGGUAUUCCAAAGAGCAUGCCUGUUUGAGUAUCAUUAAAUUAUCAACUGUACCAAUUUGGUUGCAGAUUGGAUGUGGGAGAUUUUGCAGGCUUUUGAUUUCUCUUUGAGAAAACGGUCAGCUCUCCUGAAAUAUAUUAGCAGUGCCUUUGUUGGUUCAUUAGGUGUGAUAAUUUAUCUACAUCUUCACAUGGUACCUUCAUUUGUGUAAAGGUCAUAUUGCUUCUAAUUGUCUUUGGACAUAAAAAAAAAAAAAACAUAUAAUUGUAUGGAAAACUUGAUCUCAAAUCAGGCAGGACUACUUGCUGAACUUAAGCAUAUCAAUAAGCGGAGGA